rnacentral:lncRNA from 1 species
CAGAGGCUGUGGCCAGAGUACCUAAUGCUCACUGUGCUCAGCAGGUCCUGACCACGACCCUGACUCAGAGCUGAGGGCCUCCUUCCUGCCACUAGAGGCCCCACACGGCCAUUAGGCCGUACCCACAGGAAGAGGCUGGAGCGGAAAGUGGGAAGCGAACCUCGAAGGAAGAGCAGCCAGGCCCGGGGCACUGUCACUUGCCGUCCCCUCUGCAGCUCCAGCCUUGACGCGGAAGCUCUGGAAUAAGCAGCAGCACAGAUUUGAGACUUAGUCCAUGUACCAGCCACAUGCAAAGAGGUAAGCUGGGUCAAAGAGACCCAGAAAGGGAGUCUGAAAUGGAAAUCGUGGGGUUGAUAAGGCAGCAGUGGAAACAGAGGCUUUACACAAGUGUGGGAAAUGGACUAGGAGGACACUCUGUUAUUUGAUGUGUCCUCGCUUGUAACAUGGAGGUGAUUAUGACCUACCUCAUAGGUGGGGGAAGGAGACCCAAAGGUGAUGGACCCGAAAGUGUUUUGUGAAGGGUAAAAUAAACACAGGUGUGCGAGAUCAAUAGAGUUGAUUGAUAAGUCUCAUGCAUUAUUGCCAAUCUACUUGUGUGACCCUGGAUCCCGACCUUAGCAUCCCCUUUCAUGUAUUCAGGACAGUGAUCAUUGCUUUGCUGGACUGCUGUGAGGAAAUGAGAUGUAAGCAGAAAAUAUGCUUAGGCCAGCCCCUCCUACCUCACGAGGAACACCUGGACAGUUUCCUAAAAAUACAGAUUCCUGGCACCCUAGUCCCGAAAUCAUAAUUCUCUGGGAAUGGAGCCUAGGAAUCUGAAUUUAAAAUAAGCACCCCUCCAGGUGAUUAGAAUGGUUCAAGAAGGCUUUAAAAAACACUGAGGCCGGGCGUGGUGGCUCACACCUGUAAUCCUAACCCUUUGGGAAGCUGAGGCAGGAGGAUCGCUUUAGCCCAGGAGUUUGAGAGCCGCAGUGAACUAUGGUGGUGCCACUGUACUCCUGUCUGGGUGACAGAGUGAGAUCCUGUCCCCCC